GCCUCUGUAUCUCAGUUGGAUGGUUAGAGCACUGCAUCAGAAUCGCAGAGUCGCAGGUUCGAUUCCUGUCAGAGGAC